AAAUGCGAUAAGUAAUGUGAAUUGCAGAAUUCAGUGAAUCAUCGAAUCUUUGAACGCACCUUGCGCUCCUUGGUAUUCCUUGGAGCAUGCCUGUUUGAGUAUCAUGAAAUCUUCAAAGUAAAUCUUUUGUUAACUCAAUUGGUUUCUACUUUGGUAUUGGAGGUCUUUGCAGCUUCACACCUGCUCCUCUUUGUUCAUUAGCUGGAUCUCAGUGUUAUGCUUGGUUCCACUCGGCGUGAUAAGUUAUCUAUCGCUGAGGAGACUGUAAAAGGUGGCCAAGGUAAAUGCAGAUGAACCGCUUCUAAUAGUCCAUUGACUUGGACAAUACUUUUAUGAUCUGAUCUCAAAUCAGGUAGGACUACCCGCUGAACUUAAGC
rnacentral:misc_RNA from 1 species